rnacentral:rRNA from 1 species
ACGGGUGAGUAACACGUGGGUAAUCUGCCCUGCACUCUGGGAUAAGCCUUGGAAACGAGGUCUAAUACCGGAUAUCACUUUCUCUCGCAUGGGAGAUGGUUGAAAGUUCUGGCGGUGCAGGAUGAACCCGCGGCCUAUCAGCUUGUUGGUGGGGUAGUGGCCUACCAAGGCGACGACGGGUAGCCGGCCUGAGAGGGUGACCGGCCACACUGGGACUGAGACACGGCCCAGACUCCUACGGGAGGCAGCAGUGGGGAAUAUUGCACAAUGGGCGCAAGCCUGAUGCAGCGACGCCGCGUGAGGGAUGACGGCCUUCGGGUUGUAAACCUCUUUCGCCAGGGACGAAGCGCAAGUGACGGUACCUGGAUAAGAAGCACCGGCUAACUACGUGCCAGCAGCCGCGGUAAUACGUAGGGUGCGAGCGUUGUCCGGAUUUAUUGGGCGUAAAGAGCUCGUAGGCGGUUUGUCGCGUCGGCCGUGAAAUCUCCACGCUUAACGUGGAGCGUGCGGUCGAUACGGGCAGACUUGAGUUCGGUAGGGGAGACUGGAAUUCCUGGUGUAGCGGUGAAAUGCGCAGA